AUUGAACGCUGGCGGCAGGCUUAACACAUGCAAGUCGAGCGAGCGGCGGACGGGUGAGUAAUGUCUGUGAAACUGCCUGAUGGAGGGGGAUUACUACUGGAAACGGUAGCUAAUACCGCAUACCAUAAGAUGUUCCCAGAUGGGAUUAGCUAGUAGGUGGGGUAAUGGCGCACCUAGGCGACGAUCCCUAGCUGGUCUGAGAGGAUGACCAGCCAGACUGGAACUGAGACACGGUCCAGAGUCCUACGGGAGGCAGCAGUGGGGAAUAUGGCACAAUGGGUGCAAGCCUGAUGCAGCCAUGCCGCGUGUGUGAAGAAGGCCUUCGGGUUGUAAAGCACUGUCAGCGAGGAGGCGUUACUCGCAGAAGAAGUACCGGCUAACUCCGUGCCAGCAGCCGCGGUAAUUC
rnacentral:rRNA from 1 species